GGCGCGGGAUCUCCGCCGGUGGUCGGUUCUCGCGAGUUCCCUGUCCCGUCUGGUGCCGCGAGAUUCCUUUCUGAGGCGGCAGGUCUUCGAUCUUCCUUUGAGUGGUUGCUGGCUGCACCUGGGGUGUGACGAGCCGUGGGACCCAGCUCUGAGGAAAAAGUAAAGCAUACCUGGGAGAGUGGUGAACAGAUGGAUGUGGGAGAAAAUCAUGUCAUUUUUCAAUCUAAAGAGCUGGCUAAGACAACUCUGCUUCUCACCUUCCUUCAAUAACCUCAAAGCUGGUCCUAAAUACUUCUGCCUGCUGGUCCAAACUUUGUUGGUGAAUGGAAUCAACUGCAGAACUCUUUACCUUUUAGAAGGUGAGAAAGCUCACUGAUUACCAAGGGUCAUAUUGGCCAUGCAUUUAGGCAAUAAAUUGGAUUGGAUGACGUACGCAUCCACUGUCAACUCAUUAUCUUGAAGUGAAAUGUUUCCCACUUCAGAGUCCAGGAGUCCACGCAAAUAAAGGGGAUGAAAGUCAGGUGGACUGACUCAGCUGGAGAAAGGAGCCGGAACAGGGUAAAAGGGAGGACCGAGAAGCAAAGGACACGAGUCUGAGUGCGGGAAGGGUGCCAGGAAGCAGACUCCAAACCCGGAAAGAGAAAUCUGGUACUUAGGUUUGGGGUAAAGAGGGGUAAAUGAGAUCUGUGUUGCCGGAUUCCUAGCCUGGGAGAUGAAUUUACCUCGGGCUGCCUGGACAGGACGCCUUGUGAAAGGACAUAGAACACACGCUGUUCCUUACCUGCUGCCUAAGUCCACGGCCACGGCUCGGAACCUCGCGCCACCCCAUAGUGCUCGCACCUGCAACUGGGUGAGCGCCCGAUCCCGCCCUGGCAAACGACGGGGACCAUUGCAAAGCGGCCGAAGUCGGAGGCACGAGCAGCAAUGCCUGCAGGCCGCCAUGACACCCGGCACGCGAUCACCCCGGGCUGCACCUUGAUUGGCUCACUCUGCUGACGGCGGGGCGGAGCCUGGUGCAGUUUCGUUUCCGUGGUGGCUGGGCGGGGGAAGGCGGGGAAGCGGAUACCUUGGUCGCUUUCUACGAAGCCUAGAAAGGGUCAAACCUAUCUGAACGCAAUUGUGACAACUUAUCUUUCCUAUUUAAGUAUCUGCCACUGAAAGGCAAUUGGAAAGUUAAUGCCUUUUAUGUAUGUGUGUGCUAUCGUUAUUUAAAAGAAAGUCCUAGAAUAAUGCAAAUGUUGAAUAAGUAGGGUAAAUAUAGUAAUAAUAGAAGUCAUCAGACAAAACAUUAUUUGGCUUCUGUAAACUGGAAAUUAGAGGAGAAUCUAUGUAGUGGACCAUGGGAAGAGAUCUCUCUCUCCUGUCCUUUGCCUUGGCUUUUAUUUUAUAAAUUUCACACAAAUAUUACUGAAAAGAUUUGUGUUAAUUUAUUUCUAGUAAGUUAAUUUCAGUUCUUAUUGAUCUAUAUCACCAUUUUAGAUCUUUGACAUUAUUUGUUAUUCAUUUUCGUUUCCAUUGUUAAUAUUUAGCAAUUCAUUUCUUUGCCCCUUUUGAUCAAGUGUUAUUAUUUUUUAAACUAACUCUUAUUAAAUGCAAAAUGCCAGCUACUAUUUAAAAGAAAUGUUUUGGAAAAUGAAAAAUAGUGUUUGAAAUUUGAAUUUGAUAAAUUUUCAGGGAGUAAAUAAAUCUCUCCCACCCCUCUUAAUCCUGUUAGAACAUCUUCAUAUGGUUCCUUGAAUGAAUCAAUGAUAAUUUUUUUAUUAUGAGGGUCAUAUUUCUCUUUUAAGAUCAUAACCUCCUUCCUCCAAAGAAAUCCAAACAACAAAAUCCAACAUACAUUCAAACAUGGUUUUAAGAACUAAAAAUGUUGAACUUCACACAGACAAAUGAUUUAGUGGCAAAGCAGCUCCCUGACACCUUGGUUUCCAUGAGAUAUUAGCACAGAUUUGGAAUUUCCAUGUCAAUAGAAGGAAUUACUACUAAAUCUGCUAGGGAUAUUUAGUGUUAAAGAAGUUUUUUGCCUCUUCCUCUACAUUUGACUUUACCCCCUGUUGCUACAGUGUUUUCUAGACCAAUCUAUUGAAACCUGUCCUAAUGACAAAUCUAUCAUAAUCUACUUGCCAUAAUACAACAUGAUCUUGAAUUUAUAGAAUAAGAAUACUAAAAUCACCUUUUGCUAAAGCACUUAAGUACUAUUUAAUCAUUUCAUUCAGGUGGUGUUGCCUAAUAGUUCGGAGCAUAAACUUGAAGUGAGUCUUGAGUGGUCCCAAUCUUAGCUCUGCCAUUUAAUAGUUGUCUGACCCUAUCUCUCUAAGCCUCAGUUUCCUCAUUUAUAGAUAUGGAUAUUAAUAUGAAUCUCAUAGGGUUUUUGUAAAGAUUAAAUGUGACAGAGCAUGUAAGAUGUUUAUCACAGUACCUGCCAACAUUGUCAGCGCUCAAUAAAUGGUAGAUUCACCUUUGA